rnacentral:tRNA from 2 species
GGUAAAAUGGCUGAUUAGGUGAUAAAUUGUAAAUUUAUUUAUGAGAAAUUUUCUCUUUUACUA